rnacentral:rRNA from 1 species
GAUGAACGCUGGCGGCGUGCCUAAUACAUGCAAGUCGAGCGAACGGACGAGAAGCUUGCUUCUCUGAUGUUAGCGGCGGACGGGUGAGUAACACGUGGAUAACCUACCUAUAAGACUGGGAUAACUUCGGGAAACCGUAGCUAAUACCGGAUAAUAUUUUGAACCGCAUGGUUCAAAAGUGAAAGACGGUCUUGCUGUCACUUAUAGAUGGAUCCGCGCUGCAUUAGCUAGUUGGUAAGGUAACGGCUUACCAAGGCAACGAUGCAUAGCCGACCUGAGAGGGUGAUCGGCCACACUGGAACUGAGACACGGUCCAGACUCCUACGGGAGGCAGCAGUAGGGAAUCUUCCGCAAUGGGCGAAAGCCUGACGGAGCAACGCCGCGUGAGUGAUGAAGGUCUUCGGAUCGUAAAACUCUGUUAUUAGGGAAGAACAUAUGUGUAAGUAACUGUGCACAUCAUGACGGUACCUAAUCAGAAAGCCACGGCUAACUACGUG